GACGAACGCUGGCGGCGUGCCUAAUACAUGCAAGUCGAGCGGACUUUCAAGAAGCUUGCUUUUUGAAAGUUAGCGGCGGACGGGUGAGUAACACGUGGGCAACCUGCCUGCAAGACGGGGAUAACUCCGGGAAACCGGGGCUAAUACCGGAUAAUAUCUUCCUUCGCAUGAAGGAAGGUUGAAAGGCGGCGCAAGCUGCCGCUUGCAGAUGGGCCCGCGGCGCAUUAGCUAGUUGGUGAGGUAACGGCUCACCAAGGCGACGAUGCGUAGCCGACCUGAGAGGGUGAUCUGCCCCACUGGGACUGAGACACAGCCCAGACUCCUACGGGAGGCGGCAGUAGGGAAUCUUCCGAAAUGGACGAAAGUCUGACGGGGCAACGCCGCGUGCGCGUAGAAGGUCGUCGGAUCGUAAAGCUCUGUUGUCAGGGAAGAACAAGUACCGUUCGAACAGGGCGGUACCUUGACGGUACCUGCCCAGAAAGCCACGGCUAACUACGUG
rnacentral:rRNA from 1 species